rnacentral:rRNA from 1 species
AUAAACGCUGGCGGCGCACAUAAGACAUGCAAGUCGAACGGAAGUCGUUGUAAUGAAAUGGAAAUGGACAGAGAACUUGUUCGAAGAAAGUUGAAGUAGACUUACAACAAUGGCUUUAGUGGCGGACUGGUGAGUAACGCGUAAGGAACCUGCCUUUUAGAGGGGAAUAACAAUGAGAAAUCAUUGCUAAUACCGCAUAUGCCGAGAGAAUCACAUGGUACAAUCGGGAAAGGAGCAAUUCGCUAAAAGAUGGCCUUGCGUCUGAUUAGAUAGUUGGUGGGGUAACGGCCUACCAAGUCGACGAUCAGUAGCCGGACUGAGAGGUUGAACGGCCACAUUGGGACUGAGAUACGGCCCAGACUCCUACGGGAGGCAGCAGUCGGGAAUAUUGCGCAAUGGAGGAAACUCUGACGCAGUGACGCCGCGUAUAGGAAGAAGGUUUUCGGAUUGUAAACUAUUGUCGUUAGGGAAGAGAAAGGACAGUACCUAAGGAGGAAGCUCCGGCUAACUACGUGCCAGCAGCCGCGGUAAUACGUAGGGAGCGAGCGUUAUCCGGAAUUAUUGGGUGUAAAGGGUGCGUAGACGGGAAGAUAAGUUAGUUGUGAAAUCCCUCGGCUUAACUGAGGAACUGCAACUAAAACUGUUUUUCUUGAGUGCAGGAGAGGUAAGUGGAAUUCCUAGUGUAGCGGUGAAAUGCGUAGAUAUUAGGAGGAACACCAGUGGCGAAGGCGACUUACUGGACUGUAACUGACGUUGAGGCACGAAAGUGUGGGGAGCAAACAGGAUUAGAUACCCUGGUAGUCCACACCGUAAACGAUGGAUACUAGGUGUAGGAGAUAUUAAGUCUUCUGUGCCAUCGCAAACGCAAUAAGUAUCCCACCUGGGGAGUACGGCCGCAAGGUUGAAACUCAAAGGAAUUGACGGGGGCCCGCACAAGCAGUGGAGUAUGUGGUUUAAUUCGACGCAACGCGAAGAACCUUACCAAGUCUUGACAUCCUGCGACGGUGCUGGAAACAGUACUUUCCUUCGGGACGCAGAGACAGGUGGUGCAUGGUUGUCGUCAGCUCGUGUCGUGAGAUGUUGGGUUAAGUCCCGCAACGAGCGCAACCCCUGUCCUUAGUUGCCAGCAUGUAGAGAUGGGAACUCUAAGGAGACUGCCGUAGAUAAUACGGAGGAAGGUGGGGAUGACGUCAAAUCAUCAUGCCCUUUAUGUCUUGGGCUACACACGUACUACAAUGGAUGUUACAAAGGGAAGCGAAGUAGUGAUAUGGAGCGAAACCCAAAAAGCAUCCCCAGUUCGGAUUGUAGGCUGAAAUUCGCCUACAUGAAGCCGGAAUUGCUAGUAAUGGCAGGUCAGCAUACUGCCGUGAAUACGUUCCCGGGCCUUGUACACACCGCCCGUCACACCAUGAGAGUUGGGAAUACCCGAAGCCUGUGAGCCAACAGUUAAAUGAGGCAGCAGUCGAAGGUAGAAUCAAUGAUUGGGGUG